AUGCCCCCAGAACUCAGAGAUGCCUCCAUCGUAGCCCUAUACAAGAACAAAGGUUCACAAGCAGCCUGUGACAACUACAGAGGCAUCUCACUACUCUCCACUGCCGGAAAGAUCCUCGCCCAUGUUAUACUCAACAGACUCCUGUCAUCUGUUUCAGAGCAGAACCUGCCUGAAUCACAAUGUGGCUUCCGACCAGAUCGCAGCACCAUCGACAUGGUCUUCACGGUGAGGCAAAUGCAAGAAAAAUGCCUUGAGCAGAACCUGAGUCUCUACAUUGUCUUCAUAGACCUGACAAAGGCGUUCGACGCAGUGAACAGGGAUGCAUUGUGGGUGAUCCUCAGCAAGCUCAGUUGCCCAGCAAAAUUUGUCAAACUGAUCCAGCUCUUUCAUGUUGACAUGACAGGGGAAGUCCUAUCUGGUGGAGAGACUUCCGAUCGCUUCAACAUCUCCAAUGGCGUGAAACAAGGCUGUGUCCUCGCUCUGGUACUAUUCAACCUAUUUUUCACCCAAGUAUUACGACAUGCUGUGAUGGAUCUAGACCUGGGCAUCUACAUCAAAUACCGACUGGAUGGCUCACUAUUUGACCUUCGCUGCCUGACUGCAAAAACAAAGACAACAGAGAGACUCAUCCUGGAAGCUCUCUUUGCAGAUGACUGUGCUCUCAUGGCCCACCAAGAAAAUCAUCUUCAAACCAUUGUGGACAGGUUCUCUACCGCAACAAAACUGUUUGGCCUGACUAUCAGCCUCAGCAAAACAGAGGUGCUGUUCCAACCUGCACCAGGGAGGCCAACGAACCAGCCAUGCAUUACAAUUGAUGGCACGCAGCUUUCUAAUGUCAACACCUUAAAGUACCUGGGCAGCACCAUCGCCAACGACGGGUCCCUAGACCACGAGAUUAAUGCCAGGAUCCAAAAGGCCAGCCAGGCACUCGGGCAGCUGCGCUCCAAAGUCCUCCAACACAGAGGUGUAAGCACUGCGACGAAGCUCAAAGUGUACAACGCAGUGGUCCUCAGCUCACUCCUGUAUGGUUGUGAGACAUGGACACUACUGGAAGCACAUGAAACAGCUGGAGCAAUUCCACCAACGCUCCCUCCAGUCAAUCAUGAGGAUGCGAUGGCAGGACCGAAUCACCAAUCAGGAAGUCCUCGACAGAGCCAACUCCACCAGCAUCGAAGUCAUGGUCCUCAAAACCCAGCUACAAUGGUCUGGACAUGUCAUCCGCAUGGACCCACAGCAAAUACAAAGACAGGUAUUCUACGGUGA
rnacentral:lncRNA from 1 species